GGAGUGGGACGCGUAGUGUCAGUGCAGCGGCCUAGCCUUUCCCCACCCCUGCUUUUUCCCUCCCUCUCCUCCUCCCCUCCCCCUCCCGUCCACGCCCCGGCUUGUCGCAGUGCAGCGUCCCCCCCCCCCCAGCCCUCCCAGCGUCUCGUCUCCUAGCAACCAACUCCAACCACAGGGGGCCUGGGUAACUAGCCCCAGGCCCAGAAAAAAAGGGGAAGCAGUUGGGGGAUUAGAGAUGAAAAAUUAAGAAUACAAAGUUAAGUGAUUUCUGCCUCCCAAUUUCAAGAACACUUGACCAUUUCUGAAGCUGAUAUGAUACCUCAGAGCAGAGAUGCUAUAGUGGUACAGGGUCACUUACAGAAGGAAAGAAGUAAUCUGAAUAAAUCGAAGAGCUUGAACUGAAGAAUUCAUGGGUCAAUUUAUGUUGGGUAUUGUUGAGACACAAGAGUCAUAAAAAGAUGGUACAUAGAACACAUUGCCUGAGAGAGAGAAAAAAAUCAAUGUUUACUUCUAAAGAAGAGCUUAAUUUUUCAAUUUUGUAUCCAUAAAACUCUUAUUGCUGUCUCAAUAUAAAAAUUUCAAAUUUAAACUAGUUCAUACAUAGAGCUAUGGAAGCUCCCAAAAUUAAAGGGAAAAAACACUUCAUAUCUCUUAAUUCUCAGAAUGAUUCAUUUCUGUACUAGGCAAGGAUAUUCAUUUUCAGGUUCCUUAAUAUAAACAAUAUCUUUAGCUAGAAACGGUCCUAAGAAAUAAUUACUGUGUAUGUUUCGAUUUUUCCCUUCAAAUUUUGAGUCCUUUGCCUCUUGACAUAUACCUCCCCCAAUCCCCUUCACUUCCACAGAAAAUUCCCUCAUGGCUUCAAAAUUUCUAGAAAUUUUAUAUUUCUCUUCACACUCAACAAUCCUUUUCUUCCAACUGGCAUUAAGGUACAGGUAAAGUACUUGUAAAAUUCCUGUUAAUGAAAUUUCCGUUAAGAUAUGUUACCAUAAUAUAAUUUCAUUCAUUCAAAUUUAAUGCCAUUAAACUAAAUCAUUCAAGUUUACUUAUAUUACAAAAAUGAAACUCUAACAUAUUCAACUAUAAUUGAAUAAAAUUUAAAAAUAGAAAAGUAAUUGAAUACAACUCUUCUAGUAAGUUUAAAAUAGUCUUUUUACAUAAGUUUAAAAUUAAUGAGAUUUAAGGAAAUAUUCAAGAAAUUGAAAAAAAAAAUGCAGAAUUUGAAAAAAAUUACUUUUAGUACAUGUAUAUUCCAUGAUUUAACCACCCGAAAAACAGAUCAAUUCAUCCUUCUGUUUUAGAUAAAUCGGCACAAAAUUGUACAUGAGAGACCUUUUGGGGAAGAAAAAAAAGAUAAGUUUAAUUUCUUUCUUCUGGAUGAACAUAAAAAUCUCACCAUGCUUUUUGUAAUAAAUGAAUUGUUCUAUUA